CCUACGGGGGGCAGCAGUGGGGAAUAUUGGACAAUGGGGGGAACCCUGAUCCAGCCAUGCCGCGUGUGUGAAGAAGGCCCUCGGGUUGUAAAGCACUUUCAGUGAGGAAGAACGCCUGGUGGUUAAUACCCAUCAGGAAAGACAUCACUCACAGAAGAAGCACCGGCUAACUCCGUGCCAGCAGCCGCGGUAAUACGGAGGGUGCGAGCGUUAAUCGGAAUUACUGGGCGUAAAGCGCGCGUAGGUGGCUUGAUAAGCCGGUUGUGAAAGCCCCGGGCUCAACCUGGGAACGGCAUCCGGAACUGUCAAGCUAGAGUGCAGGAGAGGAAGGUAGAAUUCCCGGUGUAGCGGUGAAAUGCGUAGAGAUCGGGGGGAAUACCAGUGGCGAAGGCGGCCUUCUGGACUGACACUGACACUGAGGUGCGAAAGCGUGGGUAGCAAACAGGAUUAGAUACCCUGGUAGUC
rnacentral:rRNA from 1 species